GAGCUCAGUGGCAGAUCAUCUUCUGCCUUACACGCAGAAGGUCCCAGAUUCAGUCCCUGGCAUCUCCA